rnacentral:rRNA from 1 species
CUACGGCCAUACUAUCCUGAACAUGCCUGAUCUCAUCUGAUCUCAGCAGCCAAGCAGGGUCAGGCCUGGUUAGUACCUGGAUGGGAGAAGCUCCUCUCUCAACACCUAGCCAUCACGUGGC